GACGAACGCUGGCGGCGUGCUUAACACAUGCAAGUCGAACGAUGAAGCCGGAGCUUGCUCUGGUGAAUUAGUGGCGAACGGGUGAGUAACACGUGAGUAACCUGCCCUUGACUCUGGGAUAACUGCGGGAAACUGUAGCUAAUACCGGAUACGACCCUCGGAGGCAUCUCCUGGGGGUGGAAAGAAUUUCGGUCAAGGAUGGACUCGCGGUCUAUCAGCUAGUUGGUGAGGUAAAGGCUCACCAAGGCGACGGCGGGUAGCCGGCCUGAGAGGGUGACCGGCCACACUGGGACUGAGACACGGCCCAGACUCCUACGGGAGGCAGCAGUGGGGAAUAUUGCACAAUGGGCGCAAGCCUGAUGCAGCAACGCCGCGUGAGGGAUGACGGCCUUCGGGUUGUAAACCUCUUUUAGUAGGGAAGAAGCGAAAGUGACGGUACCUGCAGAAAAAGCACCGGCUAACUACGUGCCAGCAGCCGCCGUAA
rnacentral:rRNA from 1 species